rnacentral:lncRNA from 1 species
AUUUAUGAGCAGGGAGGGGAGAUGUAGUAUUGCCUGGUGGUCCGGUGUCAUGGAAAGCACAGAGGGGGCCCAGCAAGCGCUUACUUACCUUCCCAGCAGCUCCCUGUCUAAAUCUCGUGGUCUGUGUGCUGCGCGGAGCGUUGCCAUGGUAACCCGUGGCAACGCUCUGGCGGCCACGGAACUCGCGAGAUUUACACGGGGGAGCUGCUGGGAAGGUAAGUAAGCGCUUGCUGUGGGCCCCCCCCAGAACCGCCGGGCUUGUAAUGUAUUAUCGGCAAUAUCGGUAUCUCUAUUGGCCAAUACCGAUAUUGCCGAAAGUACUGAAUAUUGGCCAGACCGAUAAUCGGUCGAUCCCUAAUACACAGUAUCCUAUAUAAUAUAUAGCCACUAUCUGCUAUCCCCUUCAUAACUGGGAAUGUUUCAGGACCGCCAUGAUGGAAAAUCAAAACACCUUGCUCUAAAGAAGUUAAACACCUGCAGUAUAAAGCAAUGAAACUUUUUUUUUUUUCUCUAUAAAACGUCCUAAGGUGCAGCUGAUGUAACUGACAUUUCAGUGGAUCUGUUUUACAACCUCAGUUACUAGGAAAAAUAAGACCUUUUUCUUGUAAUAAGAAAUACCAUUUAAAAAAAAAAAAAAAAAAGUUGUGUUUUGGCACUAUUGUUUCCUUAACUAAUUCUCCUCCUUUUAGAUCCCUGGAUAAUGUUUCAUACGGGGGCUAGAAAGAUUCAACAUAUAUAUAACAAUUUGGGGUGCACUGUUUUGGCAGUUUAGGUCUAAAGAAUAUUUAUAGAAUAUAGAAUGCUUUUUUUUUUUUUUUUUAAAUUGUGUACGAACUGUUCAAUGUUUUGACAGAUCUAUUUGUAAAGGAUAAGUCAUUUUAUUUUUGUUCUUUUGCUAUUAUUGAUAACCGUUCUAGUCCUGCAGUAAAUUACAUCAUUGUUUGUAAGUCCUUUCGGACUUUGUGCUUACUAUCGUAUCAGACUUGAUAUUAAAUGUAGUGGGUUUUUUUUUGUUUUAACCUUUACCUAAAAUGUAAAAGUGAUAUAUUUUUAAUUCUAAUUUUUACUUUUAAAAGACCUAAUUUGGUGGCAGUGAACCUUGGCACUCAGGCUGGCUAGGCAUCAUGAGAAUAUUUCAUUCACUUGCACCUGUGGUUGAAAGGAUUACAAACACCGGCCCGUGUUAUAGUUGGCCAUCAUGCAUCUCUCCAGCUGUUACACUUCCCUUGUUGCAUUGCAAUUAGGAAUUGUUUCUACAACUGCCGGAGAGCUUCUGAUUGGCUACCGCUGGCCCAACUGAUUUGCUAAUCAAUAAUGUGGGAUUCGUGAGGUUUUUUACAGAUGUAUGAAUUCUGGAUGUGAAACACAAACAUCAAACAUUUGUAGUGUUUAAUAUAUUGUGUAGUUUGUGUUUUUAGUGUUAUUUAGUGAUCAUUUUAAUAAAUGUACCUUAUCAGGUGUGGGAGCUAUAUUUACCUGUCUGCUUGUCUGGAGGUUAUACUCCAUUACUCACUGUUUUGUAUUUUUUCAAAUGUACCUAUUAAAUCUUACAAGGUC